ACGCCCCGGCGCUCCUUCUCCGUUCGCCGGCACUGCAUCGCACUACACUCCUGCGCCUGCUGCUCCCAUGCACUACGGCACUCCGGCUGCCCCUGCCUUGCAGCCAACUGGACCAGCCUGGGAUCAGACGGCACUGAUCCAUGCUCUCAACAACCUGGCCGGCGCGCCCCAGACGCAGCCGCCGAUUGGUGAAUGGUACAUGGACACGGGUGCCACCUCGCACAUGUCUUCGUCGUCAGGACCGGCGCACAAGGACGGAGCUCCUCCGAUGUGAUGACGACGGCGAUCUCUACCCUGUCACUGCACCCACCCUCCACCACAACCUCGCCGUCGCUGCCGUGGACAUCUGGCACCAACGCCUUGGACAUCCAGGACGUGAUGCCCUGAAGCUCACCCUACGUCAAGCUGCUCCAACCACCAACGCCGCUCCCGCCCACACCUGCAGUGCCUGCCAAAUAGGAAAACACAGUAGAUUUCCGUUUUCAGAUUCAGCUCAUGUUUCGUAUUUCCCUUUCCAAUUAGUUCACUGUGAUAUCUGGACAUCUCCUGUACUUAGUAAUUCCGGCUGUAAAUACUAUCUAGUAGUUCUCGAUGAUUACAGUCACUUUGCCUGGACU